ACCCUUUGAAGGAACUGGAUCGCCAC
rnacentral:piRNA from 1 species